UACGAACUGUGCAAACGUUAUUCGGAAUCACUGGGCUUAAAGGGUGCGUAGGCGGCUUGUUAAGUAGGGUGUGAAAGCCCCCGGCUCAACCGGGGAAUUGCGCCCUAAACUGGCGAGCUGGAGUGAGAUAGGGGUGUGUGGAACUUCCAGUGGAGCGGUGAAAUGUGUUGAUAUUGGAAGGAACGCCAGUGGCGAAAGCGACACACUGGGUCUCAACUGACGCUGAGGCACGGAAGCCAGGGGAGCAAACGGG
rnacentral:rRNA from 1 species